GGAGGAAUACCCAAGUCCGGCUGAAGGGAUCGGUCUUGAAACCCGACAGGGGCUUAACGGCUCGCGGGGGUUCGAAUCCCUCUUCCUCCGCCA
rnacentral:tRNA from 1 species